AUUGAACGCUGGCGGCAGGCCUAACACAUGCAAGUCGAACGGUAACAGGAAGAAGCUUGCUUCUUUGCUGACGAGUGGCGGACGGGUGAGUAAUGUCUGGGAAACUGCCUGAUGGAGGGGGAUAACUACUGGAAACGGUAGCUAAUACCGCAUAAUGUCGCAAGACCAAAGAGGGGGACCUUCGGGCCUCUUGCCAUCGGAUGUGCCCAGAUGGGAUUAGCUAGUAGGUGGGGUAACGGCUCACCUAGGCGACGAUCCCUAGCUGGUCUGAGAGUAUGACCAGCCACCCGGGAACUGAGACACGGUCCAGACUCCUACGGGAGGCAGCAGUGGGGAAUAUUGCACAAUGGGCGCAAGCCUGAUGCAGCUAUGCCGCGUGUAUGAAGAAGGCCUUCGGGUUGUAAAGUACCUUCAGCGGGGAGGAAGGGAGUAAAGUUAAUACCUUUGCUCAUUGACGUUACCCGCAGAAGAAGCACCGGCUAACUCCGUG
rnacentral:rRNA from 1 species